UUCGCUGCUUGCCGAAAACUUCAAACUACAAUCUAUAAGACCUUUGUUGAUUUGUCUUAUGUAAACAAAUAAAGAAAUCAACA
rnacentral:ncRNA from 1 species